rnacentral:rRNA from 1 species
UACGAAGGGGGCUAGCGUUGCUCGGAAUCACUGGGCGUAAAGGGUGCGUAGGCGGGUCCUUAAGUCAGGGGUGAAAUCCUGGAGCUCAACUCCGGAACUGCCUUUGAUACUGAGGAUCUUGAGUACGGGAGAGGUGAGUGGAACUGCGAGUGUAGAGGUGAAAUUCGUAGAUAUUCGCAAGAACACCAGUGGCGAAGGCGACUACCUGGCCUGUUCUUGACGCUGAGGCGCGAAAGCUAGGGGAGCAAACGGG